GACAGCUCGUGGCGCCGAGGGCCCGAGGAACGCUGACUGGAGUCAGGAAGAGCUGUGGAGCGCGGGGGAGGAGUCGGGGAGCUCGGAGGGGGCGGGGGUGUGUGGAGGGAGCCGGGGUGUGUGGAGGGAGCUGGGAAGGGCCCAGAGCACCGAGGGGGAGCCAGCAGUGAGUGCACUGGGGAGCUCCACACACGCGGCUCCGCAGCUUUGCGCGCCCCUCUACCGCGAGCGGCUGAGUAUCCGCCUGGCUCCCCUGCGGGGUUCCUCCGUGGUCUUCCGGAGAUUCUUUCUGAAGCAGCUUUAGAAUAGUCAAACCUAUUUUUCUACUCCAUUUCUUUUUGUAAUGUGGGGUCACCUUUCCGCUCUAGAAAUUGCUUUUCUUACGGGAUUCCCACCCCAACUCUCGCCAAGGGCCCUGGUUCUCACCUCCCCAGUCUUAGCUUCUGACAAGCCUCCAAGAAACUGCGCUUUUUUCUUUUCUGGAGAUGCAGAGUAUGAAAAUGAUUUUGCAAGACUUUUCCAGGUCAUGAGGUGCUCUCUGAGAAAUCUCUUCUGUUCCCUAAAGUAGUACUGGGGACACAAGAAGCAAUAAGACAAAAAAUAUCCCUGUCUUCAUGAAGCUUACAUUCUACUUAGAGCUGUCAAUCAUGUGCAUGAUGUUCUGCCCAAAGGCACCUGGCUGAGGAGUUGAAUGGGGAGGCGGACACUGGAGGUGGAUAAAAUUCGUCUUUUGCUCUGCUCCCACCCAUGCCUUUUUCUUUACACAAAUGUAGCUGCUAACCAAAUCCUGUGCAUGGGGUGGGAUGAACGUGUAUGUGUGUGUGUGUAUGUGUGUGUGUGUGUGUGUGUGUGUACGAGCAAACAUGCACAUGCCUGAAUCAUUUUCUAAUUUGUUCCAAGAUGCCAAAGAUGAGGCAUCAAUUCUAUUGAAGAAAGACAGACAAUACAUAAGUUAUAUAAAUAAAAAUAUAAGCAUGUUUGAUGAUGAUAAAUGCUACAGGAAAAAUUAAGAAAGGGAAAUAAAUAAGGAAUAUGGACAGGAAUGGCCUUCAAGGUGACAUUUUAGUGGGAAGUGAGAGAUAAGUAGGUGAGCCAUGUAGACAGCUAGGGGGAAAUGUCCUAGUAAGGGUGAAAUCAAGUGGAAAGACCCUGAGGCCAGACAGGAGCUGUGUCCACAGAACAGCCAGCUUGUCUAGAAAAGACUGAAUGAGACCAACUAGUGGGAGAUGAGGUCAGAGAGCUUGGACAGAAGGUAGGAUGUGGGGAAGCAGUUGGGCUGAGAUUGUUUAGGGUGUUGCAGGCUAAGUAAGGAAUUUAACAGAAUGAGAUGUGAAGCCUUGGAGGAUUUUAAGCAGAUGUGAUAGGAUUUGAUUUAUAUUUUAACAGACUAACUCUGACUACAGUGUAGUAAACAGAUUGAAGGGAGACAAGGAUGGAAGCAGGGAAACUAGUUAGGGGGCUGUUGUAAUAAUACACGUGAAAGGUGAUAGUGGAAUAGAUGAAGGUGGUAGGAGUGGAGUUAGGGGAAAUGUAGGAUUCUCAAAUGUAUUCUAAAAGUAAAACCAACAGAACUUGAUGGUAGAUUGACUGUGGGGUCUGAGAAAAGAAGACUCAAAGAUAAUGGCAAGAUUUUAGGCCUGAUCAACAGGAGGACUUGGAGUUGCCAUUCACUGAGAAGGUAGAGAUUGUGUCAAACAAAAUUAGGAUGGGAAAUAGAUCAGGAAUUCAGUUUGGGGAAUGUUAUGUUAGAGAUGAUAAGUGAGGAGUUGGAUAUUUGAGUCUGGGGUUCAGAGGAGAAGUCUGGUCUAGAGAUAUUAAUUGGAGUUAUUGGCAUAUGAGAUAUACAAACCAUGAAAUCACCAAUGGUGUAAGAGUAGUUAGAAAAGAGGAGAACCCCAAGGAUUGAGUUUUGGAGUAUUCCAGUGUUUGGUAGUGAGAAAGAGAAGGAGUAAGGAUAAAGGAAACUAAAAAGAUGCCACUAAUGAGGUAAGAGAAAAAGCAGGACAAUUGAGUGUCCUAUAAGCCAAGUG